CAUGUAAGAUGAUGUAACAUUAUGUAACAUCAGCAUGGAACAUUGUACGUAAUGUUGCAUGUAACUGCAUGUAACAUCACAUAUAACAGCAUGUGACAUUGUGUGUGACAGCAUGUAACAUCAGCCUUCUUCCCAUAUUUCUUAACAGCCACUAUGCCAGUGUUUCCCCACUUUUGUCCGUAUGUGGCUAGCCAGCUCCUGCUAUUCAUUUGCAGCCUACACAGCCCUAAUGCUACUGAAAUCGUUCUCUUCCAGCCCUGCAACAGGACAGAGGAGAUAUUUAUAAGAAAUGCCUGCAGAGUGGCAUCCCAGCAUCCCCAUGAAGCCCAUCCUUUUCUGAGUCAAAGUCUCAGAAGUCAUGUUCUUCCCCGAGAGAUAUCUGACAUUGAGUUCCCAAUCUUGCCUCGUGUGUGUCCACUUCUGGUCCUCAGACAUGUUCCUUCCUUCACCACGAUCUGGGAGACCACAGGGCAUUACAGUUCCUCGCAUGGCCACAGAGGCAGGCAAUCUGGGUCUGAAUCCUGGACUUUUGCAGUUAUAGCUAAGCAACUCGGGGCAAACCUCUCUAAGCAUCCCAUUCUUAUCUGUAAAGUGGGAAUAAGAGUCACGCCUUAUGAUUCAAAAAACAUAAUUUUUUGGAGGCAGGAGCCACUAAGCUCAGCCGCUUACAGGUAUUUUUGAACAUCAAAUGGCUGCCCCUUCUCCGAGCCAAGGAUAGAACAAUCAGUCACAAAGCCGC
rnacentral:lncRNA from 1 species